GUUAUAAUUGAAGAAUCAUUUAUGUUAUUGUAUUUUUGUGAUUUAAUCUUUUUGCUAUAGUUUAUUUGUACCGUGAGGGUUUAGGUCGAAAUAGUUGAAGUUUUUAAAAGUUUAUUUUGUUUGUUGUACCUUGUGUAUCAGGGUUCAUUGAAUUUUAUUAUUUAUUUUUAUUUCCCGAUUUUAGAGGAGUUAAUAGUUUAUGUUAGUUACUGUUUUAUUAGUAUUAAUAAUGGAUUAUUGGUAGUGAAAUGUUAUUCGUCUUUAACGGUUUCUGGUUUUUCAAGAAAUGAAUUUAAUUCAUGCUCCUUAUUUAAGUUUUACUUUUGUGUAUGUCUUUUUAUUUGGUGUUAAUAUUAGGGGGGAUUAGCUUCCUAUUUGACUUUUAUAAUUUUGUAUUUUAUUUAGUUUUGUGGAUUUUAUGGUGAUUUUCAAUUUGAUUAUGUUAAAAUUUUAUUUUUUUGUUUGUUUAUUUUUAUUUAUUUAAGGUUUUUAUUGGAAUUUUUUCUUUUAUGUUUGUUUGAGUAGUAUUCAUUAUGUAAUUAGUAAAUGGUUUCUUUGUGUUGUUUAUUUUAUGUUAGAUUCUUUUUAGGAAUUCGGCAAGAUUUUCAUGCCCGCCUGUUUAACAAAAACAUCUUUUCUUGUUAGUUUUUGAAGUAAGGCCUGCCCACUGAUUUGGUUAUUGAAGGGCCGCGGUAUUUUGACCGUGCAAAGGUAGCAUAAUCAUUAGUUCUUUAAUUGUGAUCUGGUAUGAAUGGUUUGACGAGGCAUGCACUGUCUUAAAUUAGUUGAAUAAUUUUAUUGAAUUUGGAGUUUGAGUUAAAAUUCUUAAAUGUUUAUAUGGGACGAGAAGACCCUAUAGAGUUUAAUACUUGUAUUUAUUUGCUGUUAUGGUUUGAUUUAUAGUUUUAUAGUAGAUUAAGUAUUUUGUUGGGGUGAUGGGAGGAAUUUAUGUAACUCCUCUUAUUUUUAGUUAUAUUUGUUUGUAUUUUCUUGAUCCAUUUAUUUUGAUUAUAAGAUUAAAUUACCUUAGGGAUAACAGCGUAAUCUUCCUUGAGAGUUCUUAUUGGCAGGAGGGUUUGCGACCUCGAUGUUGGAUUAAGGUGAAUUUUUGGUGCAGGAGCUGAAAGUGAUUAGGUCUGUUCGACCUUUAAAAUCUUACAUGAUCUGAGUUCAGACCGGCGUGAGCCAGGUUGGUUUCUAUCUAUAGUAAUAUUUUAUAUCUUAGUACGAGAGGACCGGAUAUUUGGAAUAAUUUUAAUUUUAACGUGAUUGUUAAUAAUGAUUG
rnacentral:rRNA from 1 species